UAGGGAGACCUACUUGUACUAGACCGAACUUUUUAUUAGGUCAGUAUCAAGCUAUCCCAAGGUCGGUCGAGAUCAAAAGCAAAGCUUUCAAACUAUGUCUAGUUCAAUCAGUAACGAGAGGGCUAUUAGCUCAGCUGGUUAGAGCGCACGGCUGAUAACCGUGAGGUCCCUGGUUCGAGUCCAGGAUAGCCCACUAGGGAAGAAAAAAACUUCUUAGAGGGGGUAUGGCUCAGUUGGUAGAGCGCCUGCUUUGCACGCAGGAUGUCAGCGGUUCGAGUCCGCUUACCUCCACUGAAAAACCCAAUAAAAAUGAACAGCAACCCAUCUUGAUAAAACAAGAAAGACUGCUGGAAAAUUCCAGUCAGAACCUUGAAAACUGCAUAGUAAUAGUCAAAAGUAACUUUUCAAUAAGUACUUAAUAGCUAAGUGAUGAGAGUCAUUUAGUUGAUAAGGGACAAAAAUGAAAACAAGCAAGUAGAUACCAAUGUAAAGCAAAAAAGCAAAUUGU
rnacentral:misc_RNA from 1 species